rnacentral:rRNA from 1 species
UACAGAGGGGGCAAGCGUUGUUCGGAAUUACUGGGCGUAAAGGGCUCGUAGGCGGCCAACUAAGUCAUACGUGAAAUCCCUCAGCUUAACUGGGGAACUGCGUGUGAUACUGGAUGGCUUGGAUUUGGGAGAGGGAUGCGGAAUUCUCGGUGUAGCGGUGAAAUGCGUAGAUAUCGAGAGGAACACCGGUGGCGAAGGCGGCAUCCUGGACCGAGAUUGACACUGAUGAGCGAAAGCCAGGGGAGCAAACGGG